UACGUAGGGACCAAGCGUUGUUCGGAAUUACUGGGCGUAAAGGGCUCGUAGGCGGCCAACUAAGUCAGACGUGAAAUCCCUCGGCUUAACCGGGGAACUGCGUCUGAUACUGGAUGGCUUGAGUUUGGGAGAGGGAUGCGGAAUUCCAGGUGUAGCGGUGAAAUGCGUAGAUAUCAUCAGGAACACCGGUGGCGAAGGCGGCUUUCUGGGUCUUACCUGACGCUGAGGAACGAAAGCUAGGGGAGCGAACGGG
rnacentral:rRNA from 1 species